rnacentral:rRNA from 1 species
GUGAGGAAUAUUGGUCAAUGGGCGAGAGCCUGAACCAGCCAAGUCGCGUGAAGGAUGAAGGUUUUAUGAAUUGUAAACUUCUUUUGCAGGGGAAUAAAGUACGGUACGUGUACCGUUUUGUAUGUACUCUGCGAAUAAGGAUCGGCUAACUCCGUGCCAGCAGCCGCGGUAAUACGGAGGAUCCAAGCGUUAUCCGGAUUUAUUGGGUUUAAAGGGUGCGCAGGCGGGUUGAUAAGUCAGCGGUGAAAGUUUGCAGCUUAACUGUAAAAUUGCCGUUGAAACUGUCGAUCUUGAGUGCAAAUGAGGUAAGCGGAAUGUGUUGUGUAGCGGUGAAAUGCUUAGAUAUCACGCAGAACUCCGAUUGCGAAGGCAGCUUACUAAGCUACAACUGACACUGAAGCACGAAAGCGUGGGGAUCAAACAGGAUUAGAAACCCUAGUAGUCC